rnacentral:lncRNA from 1 species
AAAAGAGGUCAGGGGGAGACACUGGCUGUCCUCUGCAGGGAUGUGGAGACCUUCGCUAUUUUCCCUGUGGGGAAGGCAUUGAUGGGGGCCAGAAUACAUAUGGCGGGCAGGAUGGGACUAUCUGAGUAGCGCACAUGAGAGAUGGUGGUCAUUUCCAAGGAGGUUGGAAAUAGGUGGACAGAUCAAAGGGACGAUUCCAAUGGAAUGUCUCGACGUCAUCUUCGUCUGCUAUUUGCUGGCCGGUACCUCUGAGUUAUUUUGAUCUUUAAGUGCUCUCAGACAAUAUUAAUUAUCAACUAUUGCGGGUGACAAGGAAAGGUAGAAUUAUUUGAUGUCAACAUCAAAGACCGUUGCAAUCAAGUACAAGUUUUGCCUAUUAAUAUGUCAUGUAGCCAGUAAAAUAGUCAUCGCUCUUUUAUAUAUUAAAUGCCACUUGACAACCCUCAAUUUAUUCCCUCUUUCCUUGUCUAUAACAUGUAGUACCUACCUCAGUGAUAAGAGAGACAAUAUAAAAUAUAAAAAGGUCUGGGGAUGGGGCUCAGUGGUUAAGUGCCCCUGGGUUCAAUCCCCGGUACCAAAGGGAAAAAAAAAAAAAAGAACUGGUUUUUCUUCCAUUUAUGCCCAGUCCAGUGAUACAUGCACAUCGCUAUGCACACAGCUCUGCUUCUCCUUGCCUCCACCCAGGACAGAGAGGGACUGAGCAAGGCCUGGACCCCUGACCCCGAUGCACCCAUUAUGGUAGAACUGAGCAGAACACUCUCCCUCUCCAGGCGAAUCCCAGAGCAUGGAGCCAGCACUGGACGGCCCAAGGAAUCCUGGCUUUGCCACUGGACCGCGAGGUGACAGUGCUAGUCUCUGCUUCUGUGACUCAGGCCGCUCCUGUGCAGCAUGGGAACAAUGACGGUACCACCUGAUAGGACAGAGUAAGCAAAACUGUCGGUGUCUGGCCCAGAGAAACUCUUGUCUGGAAAGAAAAAUCUAGAAAGCUCUGUUACACACGAUCUAUGGACCCCACAUCCCAGAGGUUACUUCUGUCCCCAAAGAGAAACUAAGUUCAGAACUUGUAGACCUUCUGGAGCCUGAUUUUCAGGACCACCCUGAAACCGCUGGAUACCCCAAACAAACUACCAGUCAGACCCUUAGCACAGGGCAGCCCCCUUCCAAGCCACCUCCCUCCUGUGGGCCUUUUUCUGAUCUUGUAUUUCUGGGCUUCUCUAUUAAAAGUAGAAGCAAAGAAUUCAGAAGGAGUUUAUUAUUCGAUGACUGAGUUGUGAGUUAGACUAUUAAAUAAAAUACAAUAGAUGGAGUAGGUAGGAUGUGAGGAGGCCAGGGACACUGGUAAAUGUGAAAUUUAGCAGCUACAUAGGAAAAAAAGUCAUAAAAUAAUAUUAACUGAGUAAGCAUCACACUGACCUGUCGUUCUAUUAUGACUUUAAUAUGAGAUACGUACAUUUUCUUCAUUAUACUUGUUACUCUCUGUUUUAGUCUGGUUAUAUUGAUGCUGUGACUAAAAGACCCGACCAGAACAACUGGAGAGGAAAAGUUGAUUUGGG